GAUGAGCGCUAGCGGCAGGCCUAACACAUGCAAGUCGAGGGGUAGCAGGAUUAAGCUUGCUUAAUUGCUGACGACCGGCGCGCGGGUGCGUAACGCGUAUGCAACCUACCUUAUACUGGGGUAUAGCCCGGAGAAAUUCGGAUUAAUCCCCCAUAGUACUAAUGAAUCGCAUGGUUUAUUAGUCAAAGCAUUGCGGUAUAAGAUGGGCAUGCGUCCUAUUAGCUAGAUGGUGAGGUAACGGCUCACCAUGGCUACGAUAGGUAGGGGGCCUGAGAGGGUGGUCCCCCACACUGGUACUGAGACACGGACCAGACUCCUACGGGAGGCAGCAGUGAGGAAUAUUGGUCAAUGGGCGCAAGCCUGAACCAGCCAUGCCGCGUGCAGGAAGAAUGCCCUAUGGGUUGUAAACUGCUUUUAUUUAGGAAUAAACCUCUUUACGUGUAGAGAGCUGAAGGUACCAAAUGAAUAAGCACCGGCUAACUCAGUGCCAGCCGCCGCCGUAA
rnacentral:rRNA from 1 species